rnacentral:lncRNA from 1 species
CAAGGUUCUGGAAUUUUCAAGUGUGAGGUCAGAGAAUCUUCUGUCAUGGAGGAAAUCUGUAGAGUCUCAGACAGUAAUGAAGAAGAGGAGAGAAUUUGGAAUUUGGAGGAAUGAUAGAAAGACGAAGUAUAGUUGUGACCAGAGACCAUAGGUCCUAACAACCAGAUCGAUGUGGAGGUGGUAGAAGUGAGCAGAUGGACUGCUGCGGUCUGGGGGAAUCUGGAUGUAAACUCUUCAGGCGUUGGAGUAUUCCUGCGAGCAAGCAAUAAGAGGAAAUCAGAAUACACACCUGGCCCAUUUAAGCCACAGACCAUUACUUCCAGAACGCUAUAUAUCAUCACAUAGAGUAGAGAAGAAAAGCUGUAGACUGGCCUGCCUCAACACUGUUAUGUAUUCAUUGUUGCAAUUAUGCUACAGCUUUGGCUCUGGGGUAAAGAGCAGUGAAAAGGAUCAAGUUCAACGACAUUCCUGUGUUUUUCAAACUAGUAUCAUAGACUCAUGGGAUCACUGUGGACUAGUAUUUUUACUCCAUGGUGAGUAAUCUAUAACACUUUGAAAUAGAAAAUGAGUAGGCUUAACAACAUU